UACGGAGGGUGCAAGCGUUGUUCGGAAUUAUUGGGCGUAAAGGGCAGGUAGGUGGUCUUGAAAGUCUGCUGUGAAAUCCCCGAGCUUAACUUGGGAAGUGCGGCAGAUACUCCAAGACUAGAGUACUGGAGGGGUUCGUGGAAUUCCCGGUGUAGCGGUGAAAUGCGUAGAUAUACGGGAGGAACACCAGAGGCGAAGGCGGCGAACUGGACAGUAACUGACACUCAACUGCGAAAGCGUGGGAGCAAACAGG
rnacentral:rRNA from 1 species